rnacentral:rRNA from 1 species
CCAUCAGCUAGUUGGUAGGGUAAAGGCCUACCAAGGCGACGACGGGUAGGGGGCCUGAGAGGGUGACCCCCCACACUGGAACUGAGACACGGUCCAGACUUCUACGGAAGGCAGCAGUAAGGGAUAUUGCGACAAUGGGCGAAAGCCUGACGCAGCAACGCCGCGUGCGGGAUGAAGGCCUUCGGGUUGUAAACCGCUUUUCGGGGGGAAGAGGAAGGACGGUACCCCCGCGAAUAAGUCUCGGCUAACUACGUGCCAGCAGCCGCGGUAAAACGUAGGAGGCGAGCGUUAUCCGGAUUUACUGGGUGUAAAGCGCGUGCAGGCGGUCGAGUAAGUCGAGCGUGAAAGCUCCCGGCUCAACCGGGAGAGGACGUGCGGAACUGCUGGGCUGGAGGCAGGUAGAGGCGUGUGGAAUUCCGGGUGUAGUGGUGAAAUGCGUAGAUAUCCGGAGGAACACCAGUGGCGAAGGCGACACGCUGGGCCUGACCUGACGCUAAGACGCGAAAGCAUGGGUAGCGAACGGGAUUAGAAACCCCGGUAGUCCAUGCCGUAAACGAUGCAGACUAGGUGUUGAGCGUGUGAAAGCGAGCAGUGCCGAAGCAAACGUGAUAAGUCUGCCACCUGGGGACUACGGCCGCAAGGCUAAAACUCAAAGGAAUUGACGGGGGCCCGCACAAGCAGCGGAGCGUGUGGUUUAAUUCGAGGCUACACGAAGAACCUUACCUGGGCUUGACAUGACGGUUGUAGGGAAUCGAAAGAGGACCGACUCUUCGGGGAGCCGCCACAGGUGCUGCAUGGCUGUCGUCAGCUCGUGUCGUGAGAUGUUCGGUUAAGUCCGGUAACGAGCGCAACCCUCGCCGUUAGUUACAAGUGUCUAGCGGGACUGCCCGUAGAAAGCGGGAGGAAGGUGGGGAUGACGUCAAGUCAGCAUGGCCUUUAUGUCCAGGGCUACACACACGCUACAAUGGCCGGUACAAUGGGUCGCCAACCCGCGAGGGGGAGCUAAUCCACCAAAGCCGGUCUCAGUUCGGAUUGUAGGCUGCAACUCGCCUGCAUGAAGUCGGAGUUGCUAGUAACCGCAGGUCAGCUAUACUGCGGUGAAUACGUUCCCGGGCCUUGUACACACCGCCCGUCACGUCACGGAAGCUGGUCAUGCCUGAAGUCGGUGGG